GCGGCCUAUCAGCUUGUUGGUGAGGUAAUGGCUCACCAAGGCGACGACGGGUAGCCGGCCUGAGAGGGUGACCGGCCACACUGGGACUGAGACACGGCCCAGACUCCUACGGGAGGCAGCAGUGGGGAAUAUUGCACAAUGGGCGAAAGCCUGAUGCAGCAACGCCGCGUGAGGGACGAAGGCCUUCGGGUUGUAAACCGCUUUCAGUAGGGAAGAAGCGAAAGUGACGGUACCUACAAAAGAAGCACCGGCUAACUAUGUGCCAGCAGCCGCGGUAAUACAUAGGGUGCAAGCGUUGUCCGGAAUUAUUGGGCGUAAAGAGCUCGUAGGUGGUUAGUUACGUCGGAUGUGAAAAUCUAGGGCUCAACCCUAGACCUGCAUCCGAUACGGGCUAGCUUGAGUUUGGUAGGGGAGACUGGAAUUCCU
rnacentral:rRNA from 1 species